rnacentral:rRNA from 1 species
UACGUAGGGUGCAAGCGUUAAUCGGAAUUACUGGGCGUAAAGCGUGCGCAGGCGGUUAUGUAAGACAGAUGUGAAAUGCUCGGGCUUAACCUGGGAACUGCAUUUGUGACUGCAUGGCUAGAGUUUGGCAGAGGGGGGUAGAAUUCCACGUGUAGCAGUGAAAUGCGUAGAUAUGUGGAGGAACACCGAUGGCGAAGGCAGCCCCCUGGGUCAAGACUGACGCUCAUGCACGAAAGCGUGGGGAGCAAACAGG